rnacentral:ncRNA from 1 species
CAAAGGCUUGGUCCUGACUUUACUAUCAACUUUAGCCAAAUUUACACAUGCAAGUAUCCGCACCCCUGUGAGAAUGCCCCACAGUUCCCUGCCCGGGAACAAGGAGCCGGUAUCAGGCACACCCACAAGCCCAUGACACCUUGCUUAGCCACACCCUCAAGGGAACUCAGCAGUGAUAAACAUUAAGCCAUAAGUGAAAACUUGACUUAGUUAAAGCUAAGAGGGCCGGUAAAACUCGUGCCAGCCACCGCGGUUAUACGAGAGGCCCAAGUUGAUAGACACCGGCGUAAAGCGUGGUUAAGUUAAAACCCAUACUAAAGCCAAACAUCUUCAAGGCUGUUAUACGCAACCGAAGACAGGAAGUUCAACCACGAAAGUGGCUUUAUUAGUCUGAAUCCACGAAAGCUAAGGAACAAACUGGGAUUAGAUACCCCACUAUGCCUAGCCCUAAACAUUGAUGGUAUUAUACCCCACCAUCCGCCCGGGUACUACGAGCAAUAGCUUAAAACCCAAAGGACUUGGCGGUGCUUUAGAUCCACCUAGAGGAGCCUGUUCUAGAACCGAUAACCCCCGUUCAACCUCACCCCUCCUUGUUUAACCCGCCUAUAUACCGCCGUCGUCAGCUUACCCUGUGAAGGUCUAAUAGUAAGCAAAACUGGUACAACCUAAAACGUCAGGUCGAGGUGUAGCGUAUGGAGGGGGAAGAAAUGGGCUACAUUCGCUAUCACAGCGAACACGAAAGAUGUGCUGAAACGUUCAUCUGAAGGAGGAUUUAGCAGUAAGCAGGAAGUAGAGCGUCCAGCUGAAAUUGGCCCUGAAGCGUGCACACACCGCCCGUCACUCUCCCCAAAACCACCCUUUCAAUUAACUAAACCCUAAUAAUUUUAAAGGGGAGGCAAGUCGUAACAUGGUAAGUGUACCGGAAGGUGCACUUGGAAAAAU